rnacentral:rRNA from 1 species
GAUGAACGCUGGCGGCGUGCCUAAUACAUGCAAGUCGAGCGAACAGACGAGGAGCUUGCUCCUCUGACGUUAGCGGCGGACGGGUGAGUAACACGUGGAUAACCUACCUAUAAGACUGGGAUAACUUCGGGAAACCGGAGCUAAUACCGGAUAAUAUAUUGAACCGCAUGGUUCAAUAGUGAAAGACGGUUUUGCUGUCACUUAUAGAUGGAUCCGCGCCGCAUUAGCUAGUUGGUAAGGUAACGGCUUACCAAGGCAACGAUGCGUAGCCGACCUGAGAGGGUGAUCGGCCACACUGGAACUGAGACGCGGUCCAGACUCCGACGGGAGGCAGCAGUAGGGAAUCUUCCGCAAUGGGCGAAAGCCUGACGGAGCAACGCCGCGUGGGUGAUGAAGGUCUUCGGAUCGUAAAACUCUGUUAUUAGGGAAGAACAAAUGUGUAAGUAACUAUGCACGUCUUGACGGUACCUAAUCAGAAAGCCACGGCUAACUACGU